GACGAACGCUGGCGGCGUGCUUAACACAUGCAAGUCGAACGGAAAGGCCCUGCUUUUGUGGGGUGCUCGAGUGGCGAACGGGUGAGUAACACGUGAGUAACCUGCCCUUGACUUUGGGAUAACUUCAGGAAACUGGGGCUAAUACCGGAUAGGAGCUCCUGCUGCAUGGUGGGGGUUGGAAAGUUUCGGCGGUUGGGGAUGGACUCGCGGCUUAUCAGCUUGUUGGUGGGGUAGUGGCUUACCAAGGCUUUGACGGGUAGCCGGCCUGAGAGGGUGACCGGCCACAUUGGGACUGAGAUACGGCCCAGACUCCUACGCGAGGCAGCAGUGGGGAAUAUUGCACACUGGGCGGAAGCCUGAUGCAGCAACGCCGCGUGCGGGAUGACGGCCUUCGGGUUGUAAACCGCUUUCGCCUGUGACGAAGCGUGAGUGACGGUAAUGGGUAAAGAAGCACCGGCUAACUACGUG
rnacentral:rRNA from 1 species